rnacentral:rRNA from 1 species
UACGUAGGGUGCAAGCGUUAAUCGGAAUUACUGGGCGUAAAGCGUGCGUAGACGGUUACGUAAGUCAGAUGUGAAAGCCCCGGGCUCAACCUGGGAAUGGCAUUUGAGACUGCGUAGCUAGGGUGCGGAAGAGGGAAGCGGAAUUUCCGGUGUAGCGGUGAAAUGCGUAGAUAUCGGAAGGAACAUCAGUGGCGAAAGCGACUUCCUGGACCAAUACUGACGCUCAUGUGCGAAAGCGUGGGGAGCAAACAGG